CCUACGGGAGGCAGCAGUGAGGAAUAUUGGUCAAUGGGCGCGAGCCUGAACCAGCCAAGUAGCGUGAAGGAUGACGGCCCUACGGGUUGUAAACUUCUUUUAUAAAGGGAUAAACUGAGGCACGUGUGCCUUUUUGUAUGUACUUUAUGAAUAAGGAUCGGCUAACUCCGUGCCAGCAGCCGCGGUAAUACGGAGGAUCCGAGCGUUAUCCGGAUUUAUUGGGUUUAAAGGGAGCGUAGACGGGUUGUUAAGUCAGUUGUGAAAUGUUGCGGCUCAACCGUAAAAUUGCAAUUGAUACUGGCAGCCUUGAGUCCAGUGGAGGGAGGCGGAAUUCGUGGUGUAGCGGUGAAAUGCUUAGAGAUCACGAAGAACUCCGAUUGCGAAGGCAGCCUACUAAACUGCCACUGACGUUGAUGCUCGAAAGUGUGGGUAUCAAACAGGAUUAGAUACCCGGGUAGUC
rnacentral:rRNA from 1 species